ensembl:snoRNA SNORD14 Small nucleolar RNA SNORD14
UUGCUAUGAUGAUAUUGGUACCAAAACCAUUCGUAGUUUCCACCAGAAGUUGCUAAUGAUGGCAAGAACCUUCCUUGGAUGUCUGAGCGA